rnacentral:rRNA from 1 species
AGAGUUUGAUCCUGGCUCAGGAUGAACGCUGGCGGCGUGCUUAACACAUGCAAGUCGAACGGAGUUUACCACCAUGAUUUCUUCGGAAUGAUAAUGGUAAACUUAGUGGCGGACGGGUGAGUAACGCGUGGGUAACCUGCCUCACACUGGGGGACAACAGUUGGAAACGACUGCUAAUACCGCAUAAGCGCACAGCAUCGCAUGAUGCAGUGUGAAAAACUCCGGUGGUGUGAGAUGGACCCGCGUCUGAUUAGAUAGUUGGUGAGGUAACGGCCCACCAAGUCAACGAUCAGUAGCCGGCCUGAGAGGGUGAACGGGCCACAUUGGGACUGAGACACGGCCCAAACUCCUACGGGAGGCAGCAGUGGGGAAUAUUGGACAAUGGGGGAAACCCUGAUCCAGCGACGCCGCGUGAGUGAAGAAGUAUUUCGGUAUGUAAAGCUCUAUCAGCAAGGAAGAAAAUGACGGUACUUGACUAAGAAGCCCCGGCUAACUACGUGCCAGCAGCCGCGGUAAUACGUAGGGGGCAAGCGUUAUCCGGAUUUACUGGGUGUAAAGGGAGCGUAGACGGCAAAGCAAGUCUGAAGUGAAAGCCCCGGGCUCAACCCGGGAACUGCUUUGGAAACUGUUUAGCUAGAGUGCAGGAGAGGUAAGUGGAAUUCCUAGUGUAGCGGUGAAAUGCGUAGAUAUUAGGAGGAACACCAGUGGCGAAGGCGGCUUACUGGACUGUAACUGACGUUGAGGCUCGAAAGCGUGGGGAGCAAACAGGAUUAGAUACCCUGGUAGUCCACGCCGUAAACGAUGAUUACUAGGUGUUGGGAGGCAAAGCCU